UCUUUUUUGAUAAACUUAUAUUCAGUAUUAAUUAUAUGACUAUGUUUGCAUAUAAAGUUUUCUAAGUUGUACUUAUAGAAUACAAAAUGGCAAGUGCUCUUUUUUUUGUCCUUAAUUAAAUUAUACACAGUCAGUAUUGAGAGCUGCUAUGUAUAGGAUACUGAAUCUGGUGCUCAGGGAAGACAAAGCUGUCUUUUAUUUUUGUCCUCAAGGACUCUGCUUCUUAAUGUAGCUGAGAAGAUGUGCACAUUGUACACAUCCACGCCUGCGCAGGCACAUACCCGCGUCCAUACACUAGGGUUAACUGCAUCUACCAGAGAGACGUAACUAGGCAGAGGCAACAAUAUGUCCCGUGAAUGGUCUGUGGGAACAUGGCGGAGAAGACGAUCGUGACUGUCGGCCAAAGACAGGAGACCCUCUGUGGUCUUCAUCUUCUUCUUUGGUGAGUUUUAUAGUGUGAGAUCCUACGUUUAGGUCUUUGAUCCAUUUGGAGGUAAGUGUUGUAUAUGGUGUAAGGUAAGGGUCCAAUUUGAUUCUUUUGCACGUGGACAUCCGGUUUUCCCAGCAGCCUGUUGACAAGACUGUCCUUUCCCCAGUGAAUGGCCUUGCCGCCCUUGCUGGAAAUUGUUUGACCAUAAAUAUGAGGGCUUAUUUCUGGGCUCUUAAUUCAAUUUCAUUGGUCUGUAUGUCUGUCUUUUUUGUUUUAACCACUUUAUUUAGGUGUGAUUGAUAUAUAAAAAGCUGUACAUAUUUACUAUCUAUAACUUGAUGAAUUUGGUGAUCAGGAUCCUUCUGUCUUUAUGCCAGUACCACACUGCUUUUAGUACUGUAGCUUUAUAGUAGGUUUUCAAAUCAGCAAGUGUGUGAGAUGCCCAACUUUGUUCUCUCUCAAGGCUGUAAAAGAUUGCUUGGCUUACUUGAGGGUGUGUUUGCUUUAAUGUGCUUGUAGUAACGGUAGUUAUCUACUGACGUUUUUAAAACGAUUGAUCAGAAGUUGAAUUAUAUUGACACAGACUGGAAUUAAAAUAAGCCUUCCUUUUGUCCCAAGGUAGUCAUUUGAAGAUUUGCUGUUUUACUUUAAUUGACCUUUUACCUAUUGAGAGGACCCCAGCUUUGUUUUCUAAAUUGAAGACUUUGUGUGUCAGAACAAAAUCUAGCUCAGAGAAAGUGUUAGAAAUAACCCCCAAAUCAUUAAGCUAGCUCGUUUUAUUCGAGUGUUGCCGAGACCUGAGCUGAAUGCCAUCUGGUCUUGUAAUGAGUCCAAACUGUAGAAAGUUUAAUGUAAAUUAGAAAUUUUUGGUUUAUCACCAUGUAUAUUUGCAAAGUCCUACUGCAGUUCUCAUUCAGAAUGUUACAGGAAGUGCAUUAAAUCCAUCCAUGGGUCAGAUCAACAA